rnacentral:rRNA from 1 species
UACGUAGGUGGCAAGCGUUGUCCGGAUUUACUGGGCGUAAAGAGCGCGCAGGCGGUCGUUCAAGUCGCGUGUGAAAGCCCCCGGCUCAACUGGGGAGGGUCACGCGAUACUGAUCGACUCGAAGGCAGGAGAGGGUAGUGGAACUCCGAGUGUAGAGGUGAAAUUCGUAGAUAUUCGGAAGAACACCAGUGGCGAAGGCGGCUUACUGGUCCGGUACUGACGCUGAGGUGCGAAAGCGUGGGGAGCGAACAGG